AUUGAACGCUGGCGGCAUGCCUUACACAUGCAAGUCGAACGGUAACGGGUCCUUCGGGAUGCCGACGAGUGGCGAACGGGUGAGUAAUAUAUCGGAACGUGCCCAGUAGUGGGGGAUAACUGCUCGAAAGAGCAGCUAAUACCGCAUACGACCUGAGGGUGAAAGGGGGGGAUCGCAAGACCUCUCGCUAUUGGAGCGGCCGAUAUCAGAUUAGCUAGUUGGUGGGGUAAAGGCCUACCAAGGCAACGAUCUGUAGUUGGUCUGAGAGGACGACCAGCCACACUGGGACUGAGACACGGCCCAGACUCCUACGGGAGGAAGCAGUGGGGAAUUUUGGACAAUGGGCGCAAGCCUGAUCCGGCAAUGCCGCGUGCAGGAAGAAGGACUUCGGGUUGUAAACUGCUUUUGUCAGGGAAGAAAUCUUCUGGGCUAAUACCCCGGGAGGAUGAUGGUACCUGAAGAAUAAGCACCGGCUAACUACGUGCCAGCCGCCGCCGUAA
rnacentral:rRNA from 1 species